rnacentral:sRNA from 21 species
GUCAUGUACCCCCGCAUCGAAUGCGGGGGCUUGCGAGGGGCGCUCGCGCCGUUCGCAGGCCCGAGACAUGAGCAGACUCAGCCAGGGGAGGAGCAUGCUCCUCCCAUCGGGCUCCGUUGCAAGCGAAUGCGGCACAGCCGAUGUCCAUAGGCACGUUCAGGUGCUUCACCAGCCUGAACCUCUGCG